UACGGAGGGGGCUAGCGUUGUUCGGAAUUACUGGGCGUAAAGCGCACGUAGGCGGACUGUUAAGUCGGGGGUGAAAUCCUGGGGCUCAACCUCAGAAUUGCCUCCGAUACUGGCAGUCUCGAGUGCGGGAGAGGUGAGUGGAAUUCCCAGUUUAGAGGUGAAAUUCGUAGAUAUUGGGAAGAACACCAGUGGCGAAGGCGGCUCACUGGCCCGUAACUGACGCUGAGGUGCGAAAGCGUGGGGAGCAAACAGG
rnacentral:rRNA from 1 species